UCUCCGUUGGUGAACCAGCGGAGGGAUCAUUAAUGAGUUUUCUAAACUCCAAACCCUUGAGAACAUACCUAGUUGCCUCGGCGGACUUGCCCUGGGACGACCUACCCUGCAGCGAGUUACCCUGUAACGAGUUGCCCUGUAGAGACCUGCCCUGUAGCCUGCCCGCCGGCGGCCAACCUAAACUCUGUUUUAUUGUGGCACUUCUGAGGAUUAUUCUAAAUGAAUUAAAACUUUCAACAACGGAUCUCUUGGUUCUG
rnacentral:misc_RNA from 1 species